GGAAGACCUACAUUCCCUACACAUAGAGGGGGUAGAACUUGGGAACCAGCGGCAAGGUGGGUCUCACAUGAGUAAAAACUCAAAUUCCCCCCAAAAACUCAAAUGGAACCACCCCUGUGGUAUUGCCACUUCUGCUUUCUUCUAGAAGCUAGCGCUGAAGCUGACCUCAGGACUAUCUUAUUUUCCGAAAGAUCUGAACUGCAGAGGGUCAUUCUGCCCUUGAAAAGAAACCAAGAUAAAAGGAAACAGCUCUCAGGAAUUAUAAGCAAAACACAACCAGACACUCACUGCGGAUUGCCCCAUUUUCCACCUCUUUAAUGUUUACUGAAUGCCUGCUAUGUGCAAGAUACUGAUUCUUCCUCUGCUGUGACUUUUGGAUAAUCCAGACUUGAAUUGAGGGGGCAUUGCUGGCUUGAAAAUGAUCCAAGAGCAGAAGAAACACUUCUCAAAAUCAUCCACCAAACAAACAAAAAUUGAGAAACAUAGAUUUUUUGUUUGUUUGUUUUUUCUCUUCAAGAAUGAACCAGGACUCUAACUUUGGAUUUUCAGUAAGUCAUAUAACCUGUCUACGUAAAGCCUUCCAUUUUCAUCUUUUGAUUCAUCUUAUCUGUAAGAUGAAUUAAUCACACCCUCCUAUGACUUCUCCUUUGGCCACUUAUCAUUCUCAGACUGUCCUGAAUUGAAUUAUUAGGAAGUACAGGCCUUGGAAAUGAAGCCAAGAUAAAAGGAAAAUACUCAAGUUCCCUACUUUCCCUUAGGAAAUAAAGCAGAUUAAAGUAGUGCUCUUCCGGGUUUU
rnacentral:lncRNA from 1 species